rnacentral:rRNA from 1 species
GACGAACGCUGGCGGCGUGCCUAAUACAUGCAAGUCGAACGCUUCUUUCCUCCCGAGUGCUUGCACUCAAUUGGAAAGAGGAGUGGCGGACGGGUGAGUAACACUUGGGUAACCUACCCAUCAGAGGGGGAUAACACUUGGAAACAGGUGCUAAUACCGCAUAACAGUUUAUGCCGCAUGGCAUAAGAGUGAAAGGCGCUUUCGGGUGUCGCUGAUGGAUGGACCCGCGGUGCAUUAGCUAGUUGGUGAGGUAACGGCUCACCAAGGCCACGAUGCAUAGCCGACCUGAGAGGGUGAUCGGCCACACUGGGACUGAGACACGGCCCAGACUCCUACGGGAGGCAGCAGUAGGGAAUCUUCGGCAAUGGACGAAAGUCUGACCGAGCAACGCCGCGUGAGUGAAGAAGGUUUUCGGAUCGUAAAACUCUGUUGUUAGAGAAGAACAAGGACGUUAGUAACUGAACGUCCCCUGACGGUAUCUAACCAGAAAGCCACGGCUAACUACGUG